rnacentral:rRNA from 13 species
AAAUUGAAGAGUUUGAUCAUGGCUCAGAUUGAACGCUGGCGGCAGGCCUAACACAUGCAAGUCGAGCGGUAGCACAGAGAGCUUGCUCUCGGGUGACGAGCGGCGGACGGGUGAGUAAUGUCUGGGAAACUGCCUGAUGGAGGGGGAUAACUACUGGAAACGGUAGCUAAUACCGCAUAAUGUCGCAAGACCAAAGUGGGGGACCUUCGGGCCUCAUGCCAUCAGAUGUGCCCAGAUGGGAUUAGCUAGUAGGUGGGGUAACGGCUCACCUAGGCGACGAUCCCUAGCUGGUCUGAGAGGAUGACCAGCCACACUGGAACUGAGACACGGUCCAGACUCCUACGGGAGGCAGCAGUGGGGAAUAUUGCACAAUGGGCGCAAGCCUGAUGCAGCCAUGCCGCGUGUGUGAAGAAGGCCUUCGGGUUGUAAAGCACUUUCAGCGGGGAGGAAGGCGAUAAGGUUAAUAACCUUGUCGAUUGACGUUACCCGCAGAAGAAGCACCGGCUAACUCCGUGCCAGCAGCCGCGGUAAUACGGAGGGUGCAAGCGUUAAUCGGAAUUACUGGGCGUAAAGCGCACGCAGGCGGUCUGUCAAGUCGGAUGUGAAAUCCCCGGGCUCAACCUGGGAACUGCAUUCGAAACUGGCAGGCUAGAGUCUUGUAGAGGGGGGUAGAAUUCCAGGUGUAGCGGUGAAAUGCGUAGAGAUCUGGAGGAAUACCGGUGGCGAAGGCGGCCCCCUGGACAAAGACUGACGCUCAGGUGCGAAAGCGUGGGGAGCAAACAGGAUUAGAUACCCUGGUAGUCCACGCCGUAAACGAUGUCGAUUUGGAGGUUGUGCCCUUGAGGCGUGGCUUCCGGAGCUAACGCGUUAAAUCGACCGCCUGGGGAGUACGGCCGCAAGGUUAAAACUCAAAUGAAUUGACGGGGGCCCGCACAAGCGGUGGAGCAUGUGGUUUAAUUCGAUGCAACGCGAAGAACCUUACCUGGUCUUGACAUCCACAGAACUUGGCCGGGAACUCAAAGGAGACUGCCAGUGAUAAACUGGAGGAAGGUGGGGAUGACGUCAAGUCAUCAUGGCCCUUACGACCAGGGCUACACACGUGCUACAAUGGCAUAUACAAAGAGAAGCGACCUCGCGAGAGCAAGCGGACCUCAUAAAGUAUGUCGUAGUCCGGAUUGGAGUCUGCAACUCGACUCCAUGAAGUCGGAAUCGCUAGUAAUCGUAGAUCAGAAUGCUACGGUGAAUACGUUCCCGGGCCUUGUACACACCGCCCGUCACACCAUGGGAGUGGGUUGCAAAAGAAGUAGGUAGCUUAACCUUCGGGAGGGCGCUUACCACUUUGUGAUUCAUGACUGGGGUGAAGUCGUAACAAGGUAACCGUAGGGGAACCUGCGGUUGGAUCACCUCCUUACCUUAAAGAA